rfam:Catenovulum agarivorans DS-2 contig31, whole genome shotgun sequence.
GGACGUUUAGCUCAGUUGGGAGAGCAUCGCCCUUACAAGGCGAGGGUCACUGGUUCAAGUCCAGUAACGUCCA